CCUACGGGGGGCUGCAGUGGGGAAUAUUGGACAAUGGGGGCAACCCUGAUCCAGCCAUGCCGCGUGUGUGAAGAAGGCCCUCGGGUUGUAAAGCACUUUCAGUGAGGAAGAACGCCUGGUGGUUAAUACCCAUCAGGAAAGACAUCACUCACAGAAGAAGCACCGGCUAACUCCGUGCCAGCAGCCGCGGUAAUACGGAGGGUGCGAGCGUUAAUCGGAAUUACUGGGCGUAAAGCGCGCGUAGGUGGCUUGAUAAGCCGGUUGUGAAAGCCCCGGGCUCAACCUGGGAACGGCAUCCGGAACUGUCAAGCUAGAGUGCAGGAGAGGAAGGUAGAAUUACCGGUGUAGCGGUGAAAUGCGUAGAGAUCGGGAGGAAUACCAGUGGCGAAGGCGGCCUUCUGGACUGACACUGACACUGAGGUGCGAAAGCGUGGGUAGCAAACAGGAUUAGAUACCCUUGUAGUC
rnacentral:rRNA from 1 species